ensembl:lncRNA
GUUUUAAAGUUUCCGAGGUGCGACCACACGUGACCUACAGCCGUAUGAACCGUGUGCGCUGGCAGUGAUGACGUCAUUUCUGGUUCACGCACGGCGAUAUUAUAAAUAUUGUUUAGUGUGGCUGGUUUCUUCAAAAGCGAAAGGGGAAAACGAUCAGUGAACGUGUCCGUCUUUUGAGGAUAUAAGCGGUCGGUCAACGCACACGCACACGAGUAUUUCGAUUUUUGCCUGGACUGAGCCGACAUGCACGCCUAGAUGGGGGUGCUGGAGCAGCUCCCAUUGAUUACGAUGGCAGCGGCGUUCCGGCGGCCUGGUGCAGACGCUGACAGAACGCUCAUUAAAAGCGACACUCGAUGGCUCCAGCGGAGCCGAGUGGUUGGAGCAUUGGGAAGGGAAUACACAAAGCAGUCACAACACCAGGAGGCUCAACCAGCAAAUAAAUAACAUCAACGAAACUACAAAAACACAACAGAGGACCAAAGCACAAAUCCAUAUCUUCCAUGGAGCAUGCCGAUUCUCCGGGAUUCUCCGUCAAGGGAGAAUACAGCCAUACUCCUAGGGCUCUAGAUCUGUCUCGGACCAUCUAAUCCUUUCUUUGAACAAUCCUUGGACGCUCUGUGUGAUAUUGCUUCGUCCCUGGUACUUGUUUUCCAUUGGUGAGUCGUUGUGGCGCUGCUGUGCUGUGUUAACCAACAAGCUACAAUUGAUUUAUUUAACAGGCGAACAGGGGAAGUCUUCCACAAAGCGCUGACCUUGCUCUGGUUUUGGGGAUCCAAUGAAUUCCAAACAGAUGAAGCCUGCCCCACGAGCGGAUGGUUCCCUCCACAGCCCCGUCCCACGCGUUGGCUCUGUCGCUGCUAUCCUAAUAUAAUGAAAUACUUCCAAAGCACAAUUGUUAAACGUUACAACAAGAGGGGCCUGUGGUGUUUAGAAUAAUACACAGGCCGUCCGGCUAUAAGAACCGGGAUCCUGGGAGUCGCUUGGAAUGGAUACAGGAGCAAUUAACUUACAAACAGCAGAAUAUUGGGGGAACAUAGAUAAGCAAGCAAAGACCAUUUGUUUGUAAUACAUGAGUUGAAAGUUUUUAUGAACUUUUUUUUUUUUUCAAUUGAUCAAUGGUCGAAAAUAAAUCUAACCAAAUAUAUCUGGACACGCGUUUUUUUUAGCCUUACCCUGCCUUUGAGGGACGGUGAAAUGCCGUGCCACUUGACACAAGCACAUCUGUUGCACACCAUGGCACCUGGAUGCUUACACAUCCCCGCAGCUCGUCCAGCCUACACGUCUUCAAGACAGACGCAAUUAAGUUCAUCGAAGCCAGUAAGAAAAUGGUUGACGCGACAGGACAGAGAGG